AGAUGGAGAGUGGGAGAGAGUGAUGGGGAGAGAGGGAGGGAGAUGUAGGGAGGGGGGCAGGGUAAAACAGCAGUAUUUAACUCCAUGUCCCGCGGUUUGCUGCAGGAGGCGAAUUGUGUAACAUUCCAAGUGUCAUACCAGUGUGUGUGUGUGUGUGUGUGUGUGUGUGUGUGUGUGUGUGUGUGUGUGUGUUCUAAGCGGCUCUGGAGGGGUUAAAUGGACGCUGAACUUUAUUGCCCAGAUGAUGUGUUACAUCUGCUGGUCUUCUUCGACCGGCUGGAAAAGUACAGCGGUUUGUAAGUGACGACACAGUUCAGCAGCUGUGGUGGACCAGAGUUUCCCGAACAUAUUUACAGUCAGAUUAAGAUUCCUGCAUUAAUCCCAGAGGAACCGGAAAUUCCCACUUCCACAAUGUACUGCAUGAACUGUCACUCAGAUAUGCAUACGGAAGUGGGAUUUAAACAUCGGGUAUAUCAUAGACCUCUCGUUCUUGUGGUCAACGAUCUCAGCGACGAUAGGUCGGACGCCGGUACAUCUCUUGGGAAAUGUUUUUAAUCAUCGUCACCUACAUGUGACGGGUUGUGCAAUCACACUAAGGGGACUAAAGGACGCCAUGAGCGCCCAUGGGUGCGGUCCUCUGAGUCCAAUCUGAAGAAACUCAGUCCGAACGCUGAGACGUGCUGCUGGAACGAGACGCACUGUCCGCUUGGCGUCUCGCCACCUGGUGGCCGCCGUGGUGUAUGACACCUAGUUACUAUUCUGGGGACAUCUAGUGGCCAUGUGUAUGACACCACUCAAUACUCUGACGCUGUCUGGUGGUCAUUGGGUUGUAUUUCAUUUCUCAAAUUGAAUGGCAAUUUAUGGAAUUAAAUGGUACAAAUAUUUCUCUUUUGUACCGACGUUGAAGAAUACUUUACGGUAAUUUGGCUAUUUAAGAAGUAUUUUUUAUAUAUUGGAAUCACUAUGUUCCAUAUUUGGUAGCAGGGGCGAUUCUAGGUUCUGACUUUUGGGGGGGCUCAACCCCAGGAAGCCACAGGGGUAUAUGAAGUAUAUAAAAAUUCCUGUCCAAGAUUCUUUUUUUUUUUCUUAGUUACUAUGCUGUUGUAUGUCUAAGCCAAUAACUGUCAGUGUCAGCUAAAUAAUGCAGUUCUGAACCACUAAAGUGAUGAAAGGAACUGUUUGGAUGAAGGAAUAAUCCAUGGAUGUGAACUGUAAUAACAAAUUUGAGGUAUAUUAAAAAUGACCAUAUUUUCCUGAAACACAUUGGUACAACAUGUACUAGAUUAAUAAUAUGAGAAACAUACCACUAUUUCAGGAGCACUCAACUAUGUUGUCUCACUUUCAGGGACCCAUACAUUUUUAUAAAACUUCUGAUGCCAAAAAAUCUUGUUUUUCUAAUGCAAAAAAACAAGGGUGCUAAUUUUCAGUUUAAAAAAAACUGCUGGCAUUAUUUCAUCAGCUGAGAGCGUUUUCAUUGCCAUAACAACGUGAGCUAAUCAACUAGUACAACAUGUUCUAGACCAGUGAUUCUCAAUUAUUUCAUUCUUUAAUUAUUAUUUCAAUAGUCAUUCCCACCCUAGGAGACAGACAUUGUUUCACGCCCUCCCUGAAUUGAAAUAGCCUACUAUUGAGAACCUGCUAAUAUUUAUUUAUUUAGACUAAUACAAUUUGCGGAGAUAACAUCUGCAACAACUUUAAACAAUUUCUAACUUCAGUUUAUUAACUCAAUUUGUAACAUUUAAACAAGACUGCUAAGUCUGUGUGAAUCUCAAAACAGAGAAACGAGAGCAAAUGAUUCACUGGGGUUUGCAAUUAAUUAAAUGUAUUUUUAGUAAAGAUUG